ACAUUUCUUCUGUGAUGAGUUUAAAAACCUGACUGAGCAGAUGGGGUGAAAAUAAUGCUAGCUUAGCAUAGGCGCUACUUCAGCAUUCCUACCCUUGGUAAUAAGCUUAUCUGCUUAGCUUCCAUGUACAGCAUGGAGCAUCAUUGUCCUCAUCAUCCUCUGUAAUUGAAUUGUCUGAUUGCAGCUUUUCGUCCGUGCAGCAGCUAAUCUGUCGUUGCAGAUCAGUGCAUCCUGUAAAAGUUGUAGUAGAAGGAGGAGCAAGAAGGGCGGUUGUGUCACACCCAUCUUAAAGAAGGAAAGUACGCGUGAACGGCCUCAGCAGUGUUAAAUCAGGACUACGUGAAUGCUGUGAAUGCCACAUUCUGCAGCAUCGACGGACCGUAUCAUGAUUAAUUGAUGCAUCGCUACCUGCCAUCUCUCGCCGAGUCCCCGCGGACGCGCUCGCUGCCCUCCCAGAAGUCUUUGCUCUCGAGCGAGCUGCGGCUUCCCUGAGUGGAAACCUCCGAGGCUGCGGCUCACCGUGCUCCAAAGUACAAGCACCUGGAAAAAUAAGCGUGCAUUUAAAUAGAGACGUCUCUCCCUUUCAGCUGGAUCCAAACAAAUUAAAGAUGUCUUUCUGACGGGAUGGUUCCACAAAGAGGGGUCGUAAAAAAAGGGGGUGGGGGGUGAGAGUGGCAUGACCUCAACAUUUGAAGACAGUUCUUAGAAGUGAUUUUAUUAGAGAAUGAUGGGAUCAUUGAUUAGUUUGGGCCCGGCGGGAGUGGCUGCAGCAAUCGGCAGGCUGGAAGCUGCUGGGCGGGUUCCUUCUCAGCGGUUAGGAGCCAAAGGAGCCAAUUGAGCCAAAGGGGCCAAAGGAGCCAACGGAGCCAACGGAGCCAAAGGAGCCAACGGAGCCAACGGAGCCAAAGGGGCCAAAGGAGCCAACGGAGCCAACGGAGCCAAAGAAGCCAACGAAGCCAAAGGAGCUAAAGGAGCCAACGGAGCCAAAGGGGCCAAAGGAGCCGACGGAGCCAACGGAGCCAAAGGGGCCAAAGGAGCCAAAGGAGCCAAAGGAGCCAAAGGAGCCAACGGAGCCAAAGGGGCCAACGGAGCCAAAGAAGCCAACGGAGCCAAAGGGGCCAACGGAGCCAAAGAAGCCAACGAAGCCAAAGGGGCCAAAGGAGCAGAGGUGCUGUUGGUGAAAGUGGGAGAACGUGUGAAACGCUUUGUGAACCUCAACAGGAAGUGAGGGUCAUCGGUAUCUCCAUGGCAACAGGAAUAUGGCUGCCUGGAGCCAGAAGGAGGCAUUUCAUCAGUGAAGGCUUAUUCGUUCAUACGGUCUUCAUCCAUCCAAACUGCCAGAAGAUCUUCCCAAACCAGUUAAAAUCCCUCCUGACAGAAAACCGCGGCGUUGAAUCGGUGUGAGGCGUAAAAGGCUCCAGCAGAGGGCACCCCGCCUCCACCUCCACCUCCACCUUCCU
ensembl:lncRNA